rnacentral:rRNA from 1 species
AUCGAUGAAGAACGCAGCGAAAUGCGAUAAGUAGUGUGAAUUGCAGAUUUCAGUGAAUCAUCGAAUCUUUGAACGCACAUUGCGCCCUUUGGUAUUCCGAAGGGCAUGCCUGUCUGAGCGACAAUAAGUCAAUCAAACCUUGGUUUGGUAUUGGGAGAAGUAGCAUUGGUCUACUCUCCUUUAAGUUAUUGGCGACGCUAUUUCAGCUUGUAAGACGUAGUAAGUAAUUUCUCGUUAAAGCAACUGUUUAGAUGUCUGCCAACUGAAUGAUUUAUAUUAUCGCUUGUCCUCAGAUCAGGUAGGGAUACCCCCUGAACUUAAGCAUAUCAAUAAGGGGAGGAAAAGAAACCAACAGGGAUUGCCUUAGUAACGGCGAGUGAAGCGGCAAAAGCUCAAAUUUGAAAUCUGGCGUCUUCGACGUCCGAGUUGUAAUUUGUAGAGGUAGCUUUGGGUGUACAGCCAGGUCUAUGUUCCUUGGAACAGGACGUCAUGGAGGGUGAGAAUCCCGUAAAUGGCUUGGCCAGUGCCUAUGUAUAGCGCCUUCGACGAGUCGAGUUGUUUGGGAAUGCAGCUCUAAGCGGGUGGUAAAUUCCAUCUAAAGCUAAAUACUGGCGAGAGACCGAUAGCGCACAAGUAGAGUGAUCGAAAGGUGAAAAGCACUCCGGAAGGAGAGUUAAACAGCACGUGAAAUUGUUGAAAGGGAAGCGCUUGAGACCAGACUCAGGUAGGGUUGAUCAACCUCCAUUCUUGGUGGUGCACUCUUCUCUGCCCGGGCCAGCAACAGUUUUGACGGUGGUAUAAAGGUUUAGGGAAUGUGGCUCUCUUCUGAGAGUGUUAUAGUCCUAUUCGUAAUGCUGCCUGUUGAGACUGAGGACCGCGCUUCGGCUAGGUUGUUGGCGUAAUGGUCUUAANCGACCCGUCUUGAAACACGG